CAGCCGCCGCGGGAAUACGGAGGAUCCGAGCGUUAUCCGGAAUUAUUGGGUUUAAAGGGUGCGUAGGCGGAUAGAUAAGUCAGUGGUGAAAGACGGUGGCUCAACCAUCGCAGUGCCGUUGAUACUGUUUAUCUUGAAUAUGGAUGAGGUAGGCGGAAUGUGGCAAGUAGCGGUGAAAUGCAUAGAUAUGCCACAGAACACCGAUUGCGAAGGCAGCUUACCAAGGCAAAAUUGACGCUGAGGCACGAAAGCGUGGGGAUCGAACAGGAUUAGAGACCCCCGUAGUCCCUGUCUCUUAUAC
rnacentral:rRNA from 1 species